GUCGCCUCUGUGCUGUGGGUCCAGGAAUCUAAGGCAUCUUCUUUAUUCUGGAAUGAGCCUGCCCAUCCCUCAGGAAGACUGAAAGGAAUUCGGUCAGAAGAAUAUUAUUGACUUUUAUCCAGACUUGAUUUCAGUAGAGUUCUGGGACCUGCCAUAUCCUAUGGGUGAGCUCUAUCCAGGUCCCCUUCCCUGAAUUACCUGUCCUCUCCCCACUGACUGGGAUGACACCUAAUUUUACAACCUGCUGUAGCAUCUUUGCUCCCACUGUGACAGUAAACUCCUUGAGACUGGUGGCCAUCUUGGGAAGUGAUUAGAUUCAGAAGAGGUUGAGAGGUUGGGGCCCCCAUGAUGGGAUUAGUGUCCUUUUAAGAAAAAGAAGAGACUGGAGCUCCCACUCUCUUCACCACGUGAGGAUAUGGCAAGAAGGCAGCUGUCUGCCAGGCAGGAAGAGGGCCCUCACCAGGAACUGAAUCUGCUGGUUCCCUAACCUCAGAUUUCCAGGGUCCAGAAUUGUGAGAAAGAAAUGUCUGUUGUUAACCAAUCCAUCUGUGGUGUUUUGUUAUGGCAGCACAAGCUGACUAAACAAGUGCCAAAACCAAACCAGUAACUCCCACUUUCUAGUCUCGGACCCAGUAUUAAGGAAUUCUGGUCACAUAGUUUAUUCAUCCAUUUAACAAAUAUUUAGUAAGUGCUUCUGUGCCAGGCAUUUUUCUAGGCCUGGUGAUCAUUUAAUCAAAAGAGACUAACACCUGCUCCCUGAUGCUUACAAUCUGAAAGACAAUAAAGAAAAAUAUAGUAACAGUAGUGAAUUAUAUGGAUGUGUUCCAGCAAUUGAUUGCUGAGCAAAAAAUAAUCUUAACGCAUACAAACGCCGGGCAUGGUGGCUCACGCCUGUAAUUCCAGCACUUUGGGAGGCUGAGGUGGGCAGAUCACAAGGUCAAGAGUUCGAGACCAGCCUGGCCAGCAUGAUGAAACCCUGUUUCUACUAAAAAUACAAAAAUUAGCUGGG
rnacentral:lncRNA from 10 species